rnacentral:rRNA from 1 species
UACGAAGGGGGGCUAGCGUUGCUCGGAAUCACUGGGCGUAAAGCGCACGUAGGCGGCUUUCUAAGUCAGGGGGUGAAAUCCUGGAGCUCAACUCCAGAACUGCCUUUGAUACUGGAGAGCUCGAGUCCGGAAGAGGUGAGUGGAACUCCGAGUGUAGAGGUGAAAUUCGUAGAUAUUCGGAAGAACACCAGUGGCGAAGGCGGCUCACUGGCCCGAUACUGACGCUGAGGUGCGAAAGCGUGGGGAGCAAACAGG